UUGACUAUGUAACAGCGACGCAUAUUUGUUUUGAAGACAUGCUCUAAAAACUCCAAGGGCAAAUAUCCCUGACUGCCUUUUGCAGCUUGCAUGACGACCCUCUUUUUGGUUCUCAGAUAAGCACACUAUUUGAAUGGAUGCAUUUUAGAAGGUGAGGGAAAGGAUGCCAAGCCCAGACACUGAGCUCUCAGCUUCGACAUGCAAAUCAGAUUCAAACUGUGAGAUAACAAACUGUGAGAACAGACUCUAAAUGGCCUAACAUUAUAGCAUCUAACCCCAAAUCAAAAAUCUAUCCCAUAGCUAGAAGUAGAGAACACAGCAGGGGGAUGAGGAAGGAAGGAAAAAAAAAAAAAACUUGUUUACACAACUUCAUGUUUAUUUAAUUUUCUACUUUUUUUAUUUUUAUUUUUUUUGGUUUUUGGUUUUGGGGGGGCUUUUUUGGCCUCGCUGCAAGGCUUGUGGGUUCUCAGUUCCCUGACCAGGGAUUGAACCCGGGCCACAGCAGUGAAAGCGCCGAGUCCUAACCACUGACCACCAGGGGACUCCCUAAUUUUCUACUUUUAAAGGCUUACUUGAUCUCCCUUUCCCUAUAAGCCUUGUAAAGAAGAAAGGAACUUGUCUUUCCAGUGGUUUUAGUAACACAGAAAUGAAUCUUGUUCUUUCUACUUUAGUGGGAUUGAGCUGUGAUCUUCCUUCGGGGAGAUGCCCUGCUGGACACUUUAUCUACUUACACCCAAGAAGUAGCCUUUUCUCCUUAUGAAGAUGAACGUAUAAAUCAAGUUUAGCAUUUUUAAGAUACUUAUUUUAAAAAUCAGUAAAUUAUCUGUAUUAAAGCACAACCAUUAACCAUUUUUCUCUUCAAUCCAGCCUGUGUUCGUUUUCUGUUGCUGCUGUAAUGGCUCCUGAGGAACUGAGGCCCUCGGUCCAACAGCCCACAAGAAGCUACAUGAGUCAGCUUGGCAUCAAACACCCCAGUGGAGCCCCAAGAUGCCUGCAGGUGUGCAAGACUAAGCAGAGGACCGGCUGAGCUGCACCCACAUUUCUGACCUGCAGAGACUAUGAGAACUCCCAAGAAACUCGGGCUGCCCCAGAAGUCUCAAGCCCCAUCCCUACCCCACGACGUGAGCUCCAAGCUGCAGACAGCAGACACGCUGGAGAACUUGUCUAAACUGAAUUUACGUUCACCCUGCCCCCAGUCACCUGCGAGUCACUGCAGAUUACACCUUCUCUCUUACCCUCCAUACCCAUGGCAGACUCAGUGCCAUCAACUCUGCAGCCCUCACCACUCUCAGAUCUGUUCCCCUUUUCCAUCCCACUGUUCCUCCCACGGUGACUCAAAACCAGUCACCUGAAACCUAACAGAGGUGUCCUAGUUGGGCUCCCUGUCCCCCAUCUUCCCUCUCUCCAAUCCAUGUGCUGGUGUCCCCCCCACGCCACCUGCAGGAUGGAGUCUGCAUUCAUUAGGAUGACGUCCAAGGUGGGCCAUGGUUUGGCCCCUGCUUCUCUCUCCAGGUCCAUCUCUUGGGGCGCCUCCUCCUUCCUCUACUUCCCCAAACUCCAGCUGCACCCAAUCUGCAGAGUGCUGAACAUCUCAGCCUGCCAGAUGCCUCCCGUCUCAGUGCCUUGUUUACUCCCCCUGACUGGAAUGUUCUUCCCCCAUUUGGGCCAACUGCAAACACUCCCCUUUCGCGAGUCAGCGCAAGCCUAGGGAGCGUGGACCCUCAGGGUGGAAUGACCACUUCCCCUCUUGAGCCUCAGCUGAACCUGACCGAAUCUGUAGAGACUCCUAUUGUAACUCAUGCUUUUUCUCCAAAUAUUUCACAUCAGCCCUCCUCCUACUACUAUAUAUUCCUUGAGGACAGGAAAACCUCACUUGUUUUCUUAGUUCACCAGCUUCUAACACAGUUCUUAAUACAUGUUACAUGAAUUUAUAAAUGAACAUACACCCCCUACAUACACCCAGACUCUAAGAUUUCAAGGCUGGGAACGUGAUUGGACCACUCAGAGCUACAGCUGGUAGGAAGAGUUGAUUUUUGAGAUAAAUGGGGUGCGCUAUAGAGGUCUAAGCUUCAAGUGGUGGGAUCCCAUGAUGCCUAUCAGACUUCUCAAAGGGGAACUGAAGCUCAGAUGGUAGAACUGAGAGUGAUUAAUGCCAAGAUGGGUGUCAGAAAAGAAGUUAUUUUUCUCUGUUUUAAUUUUCUUUUAUUAUCAAACCUACACAACUCCAUAGCAUAAAGCAAAGCUUUCUAAACGUUAAAACGCAUCCCUGGGGCUUAAAACCCUAAAUCAGAGGACAUAAAUGAAGACUUGGUACACUGCUUCUGAAAGCCUGCCAAUUUCUGUGCCAACCGCCAGGAAGCCAGCACAGAUGCCUCCUUGGAGCCCUGAGAGCCUCCAGCAUGUUUACCAAGUCUGGCUACUUAAACAGGUGUCCCAAGGGCCCUGGACAAGGAGGAGGUCCUUGUCUACUCAUUAACCCCGGAAACAAAGCAAACCAAAGGCACAGUGUGUGACUUCGCUAAUUCUUCUUCUCCUUCUGGAGUUCGGCCAUUGAUUGUGGCACAGAUAAUGCUAUAUGUUCCACCAGACUCAUUUCAUUUUCAUCCUAGACACUAAGGAAGACUGCCUUCCCCAAGCUCCCUCGUAGUUACACUGGGCCCGUGUGAUUAAAGCUCUGACCUGUAGACUGGGAAGAAGUGAUAUAUAUCACUUCCAGACCUGGCCACAGAAUCCUUUACAUGACCCUCCGUGGUCUCUCUCCCCAUUCCACACUGACCCCAGAUGACAAAUUUGGGAGGAAACUGGGUCCCUGAAUAACUAUGGAGUAGAGCUGCCACUCACUCCCUCAGUUCACCUGCAUGGAGCUUUCAUAUAAGCAAAAAAUAACAUUGGUGCAUGAAGUCACUGAGAUUUGGAUAUUCUUUGUUAUAUCAGCUAGCAUCACCUAUCCUGACUAAUAUACUACAUUAGCCACAACGCACUGGGAAAAUACUCAUCCAUUCAGCAUUUACUAAGCAGCUGCUAAUGGCAAAAACUGUUGUGUGCUAUUUACAACUGAGGGAAAGAGAAUUCACCUGUUGCACCAUGAGCUUCUCAAAUUCCUCCACAAUCUCAGGCAAGCUGAGCCACUUGAUUCCUGGCAAAAGUGCAAGGACUCGGCUGCCCAUCUUCAUCAGCAGCAGGUCCAUCUGCACCUGAGCAAGCAGGCCAGGGUGCAACACCUGCCAAAAGGAGGCACAGUGAGACAGGAGGGAUCAAUCAACCCAGCCACGGCUGGGUCCUACCGUCAAAGGAGAGUCAGCAGGCUUCUCAUCAGAGCAAAGGAGAAGCAGUCCCAACGCCCAGGAUGCUCCUGCAUUCCUCCCUUUGCGUCUUCCUGAGGAGACUCAGAGGGCAGCUCCCCUGCAUGGCACUCAGCUUUGCUGGGAAGAAUAGGGGGGCUUCUCCUUCCAAAUACAUUAAGUUUAGAUCAGUGAUUCCUAAACAUUAGUGAGCAUAAAAGUCACCGUGGGUUGCUUGGUGAAAAUGUGGACUCCCAGAUCUCCUCCAAGACCUACUGAGUCAGGGACUUCCCUGGUGGUCUAGUGGUUAAGACUCCACGCUCCCAAGGCAGGGGGCCCGGGUUCGAUCCUGAUCAGGGAACUAGAUCCCACAUGCAUGCUGCAACUAAGACCCAGUGCAGCCAAAUAAAUAAAUAAAUAAAUACUUUAAAAAAAGACGUACUGAAUCAGACUGGCUGGAAGGGGAGCUGGGAAUCUGCAUCUUAUUGAGUGUACAGGUAGCUGAGUCAGGUGGUCCAAAGCCUGCAAAAUACUGCUCUAGAGUCACAGAACUCCAGAGGUGGAAUGGAAAGAGUUCAAACUCCAGUUCUGCAACCCAUUUCCUGUAUGAAACUGGACAAGCUGUGCAACUUCUCUCAGCCUCCUGUUCUAUCAUUUAAAACAUGCAUAUAGGGGACUUCCCUGGUGGUUCAGUGGUUAAGACUAUAUGCUUCCAAUGCAGGGGGGCACCGGUUCGAUCCCUGGUUAGGGAACCAAGAUCCCACACGCUGCGUGGAAUGGCCAAAACAACAAACAAAAAAACCCCAUGCGGACAAUAACCCCUACCUCCACCUCAAAUCCUUUUAGGAAUAAAGUGGAGUAUAAAUAAAGAUAUAAGAAAAAAAAUCCCUAUCUCGGGUAUCUAAUAAAGAUUAAACAAUG